rnacentral:lncRNA from 1 species
UUUUUAUACCCUUGAAAAAGCCAGGCCGUUUGCUGGGAUCAAGGUUAUAUAGGAUAGGGCAGAAGAAAGCUCAGCCUCAUAUCUCUUCAUUUUCAAAACCAACCUUGCCAUGCAAGCGACAUAAGGUUUUCGAGAGGAUUCCCACCUUUGUGGCCUCAAAGAAGAGAUUUUCACCCAUAGCUGAAACUUCUCUAAACUCAGCGGCUAUUGGAGGCUCCAGGAGAGGGCAGCAAUGCAGUGCGAGAGGCACCGCUCCAGCACAGAGCAGCCUGGGCAGUCAGGGGGUGAUUUUUUAGCAGAAACGAGCCCUGGGUCCAAAAUCCAAGUAAGUGAAUGGGCUGGCUCUGCUGCCUGGAGUAGAAGAAGCAAGCUCAGAGCAGGUCACGGGUUCAGCUCCAGGUCUCGUGUUUAGUACAGCAGUUUCAGGGGCACUAGGCUGUCCCAAGAAACUUCUUUUGCAGAAAGCGUGGGCUGGAAGCUGUUUGCUGAGGCCCAUUGCCAGCAGCCCAGCUGGCCCAGCAGUGGCCAGCACAUGGACUGGGGGGCGGGGGGGGGGAGUGCCAGAAACUGCCUUAGAGCUGAGAACAGGGAGAAAAACACCGUGGAGGAGAGGCAGAGUAGGGCACAGGUGUAUGUGAUGCCUGAGGGGCGGAGGCUGGCAGAGUUCAGGUGGGAGGUGCAGGCAGGAGAUGCCACUGGCUGGGUAUAAAGCUCCAUGGUGCUACUCCCAGCCUUUUCCCAGCAUCAGGAAUCUUCUAUGGGACUGCAGCAGGUGACUGAAUGCAGCUUUGGCAUCAGCAAGCUGAAGGCUUUGCUGCUGCUUUGCUCCUGAUGGCCCCAAAAUGCAGCCCCCCCCAGCAGCGUGGUACACCAGGUGAACAUGGCCAGGUUGGUCUGCCAGGUGCUGGCACACCUCCUCCCUGUGCUUCAUCCAGGUCUCCUCUCCUUUUUUCUCCUGUCUCUUCUCCCCUUGGCUCCUCAAGACCUAGGUGCUCUUGCCUGUUCCUUCAUUUCAGACAUUAAAAAACAUUUCAGACAUAAACAGUAAAACAUUUAAAAAAAAAAAAACUUAAAUUGAAGUUGAAAUAAUGCUGCUGUGGUCUAACUUUUGUGAUCUCAUUUAUACCUGAGAUCUGUUGGCUCUUUAUUUUUUUUAUAGCCGCUCACUUGUUUUAAAUUAAAUCAUCAGUUAAUAAAAAUAUCAAAUUCUGAUACUGCA